rnacentral:tRNA from 1 species
GGUUAUGGCUCAGUGGUAGAGUGCGUGCCUCCUACAUGCAAGGCCCUGGGUUUGAUCCUCAGCACCA